rnacentral:tmRNA from 1 species
GGGGGCGACCUGGCUUCGACGUGGGUCACGAAACCCGAGGUGCAUGCCGAGGAUGUAGCUCACCUCGUAAAAUACGCUGCAAAAUAUAGUUGCAAACGACGACAACUACGCUUUAGCUGCCUAAACACCAGUCUGAAGCCGUCCGGCCUGUUCAGCUUGCGGGACAGUCCCGGGCGUAACCUUAGCAAGCUCGUGGGAAAGCCUGCCUGAAGCGGACCCAUCAAACCUUGAUCAGGCUCGCAUUUGCUUCCCCGUUCGUCGGGCAGUAGAUGUUAAAUCAAAGGCGAUACUAAGCAUGUAGUACCGACGGCGUAGGAUUUGCGGACGCGGGUUCGAUUCCCGCCGCCUCCACCA